UGCCCCACCUGGGGACUACGGUCGCAAGACUAAAACUCAAAGGAAUUUGACGGGGGCCUGCACAAGCGGUGGAACACGUGGUUUAAUUCGAUGUUACGCGAGGAACCUUACCAGGGCUUGACAUGCUGGAAGUAGCCACCCGAAAGGAUUGGCCACCUGUAACCAAUCAGGAACCAGUGCAGGUGCUGCAUGGCUGUCGUCAGCUCGUGCCGUGAGGUGUUCCCUUAAGUGGGAAAACGAGCGCAACCCUCGUCCUUAGUUGCUAGUUUCGGGUAAUCGGAACGCACUCUAAGGAGACUGCCCGCGUUAAGUGGGAGGAAGGUGAGGAUGACGUCAAGUCCGCAUGGCCCUUAUGCCCUGGGCUACACACGUGUUACAAUGGCGCAUACAAUGGGGGGCUAAGCCGUAAGGUGGAGCAAAUCCUAUAAAGUGUGCCUCAGUUCGGAUUGAGGGCUGCAAUUCGCCCUCAUGAAGCUGGAAUCGCUAGUAAUGGCACAUCAGCACGGUGCCGUGAAUACGUUCCCAGGCCUUGUACACACCACCCGUCAAGC
rnacentral:rRNA from 1 species